AUUGAACGCUGGCGGCAGGCUUAACACAUGCAAGUCGAGCGGAGACUUCGGUCUUAGCGGCGAACGGGUGAGUAAUACCUAGGAAUCUGCCUAUUAGUGGGGGAGUAACGGCUCGAAAGGGUCGGCUAAUACCGCAUACGUCCUACGGGAGAAAGUGGGGGAGUCUUCGGACCUCUUGCUAAUAGAUGAGCCUAGGCCGGAUUAGCUAGUUGGUAGGGUAAAGGCCUACCAAGGCGACGAUCCGUAGCUGGUCUGAGAGGAUGGCCAGCCACACUGGAACUGAGACACGGUCCAGACUCCUACGGGAGGCAGCAGUGGGGGAAUAUUGGACAAUGGGGGCGAACCCUGAUCCAGCCAUGCCGCGUGUGUGAAGAAGGACCUC
rnacentral:rRNA from 1 species